rnacentral:rRNA from 1 species
CAGUCGCCGCGGUAAUACGUAGGGUGCAAGCGUUGUCCGGAAUUAUUGGGCGUAAAGCGCGCGCAGGCGGAUCAGUUAGUCUGUCUUAAAAGUUCGGGGCUUAACCCCGUGAUGGGAUGGAAACUGCUGAUCUAGAGUAUCGGAGAGGAAAGUGGAAUUCCUAGUGUAGCGGUGAAAUGCGUAGAUAUUAGGAAGAACACCAGUGGCGAAGGCGACUUUCUGGACGAAAACUGACGCUGAGGCGCGAAAGCCAGGGGAGCGAACGGGAUUAGAUACCCCCGUAGUCCCUGUCUCUUAUACA